rnacentral:rRNA from 1 species
UACGUAGGGUGCGAGCGUUGUCCGGAAUUACUGGGCGUAAAGAGCUCGUAGGUGGUUUGUCGCGUUGUUCGUGAAAUGCCACAGCUCAACUGUGGGCGUGCGGGCGAUACGGGCAGACUAGAGUACUGCAGGGGAGACUGGAAUUCCUGGUGUAGCGGUGGAAUGCGCAGAUAUCAGGAGGAACACCGGUGGCGAAGGCGGGUCUCUGGGCCGAUACUGACGCUGAGGAGCGAAAGCGUGGGGAGCGAACAGG